GCUGCUUAGCAUCGAACAUGUCAGGGCAGCACACCCAACAAUGCAGAAUACGGAACUGCUCGUGAGGUGGGUUUCCUCCAGAGUCUCCACAAGCGCUUCUGACGGCAGGCAACGUUGAAUACAAUCCCCAAGGGAAGUUCCGUUGGGGACGCAAGUAGUUACACAAAAUGCAUACCCAAAUUCAAUCGGGGCGAGUGCUGUAACAGCUUGAAGGGAGAGACUAACAAGGAUCAACAACAGCAAACAGAAAAUCAACGCUCAUUAUUUCCCCCCAUUAUGUAUAUAUUUAAUUUGAUUUCAUGAUGAUUAUUUUGCACUGCUUUAUAUAGGUCUUAUAUAGAUUUUGAUUGUCAUGCCAAACAGCCAAACUGCCAAACUACCAAACUGCCUUAUUGAAUGUAAAAUUAAGACGUCAAACCAUAAUGCCAAAAUUUGAUUGAAUGCAAAAUUAAGAGAAAAUUUCUAUACCUAAUCAAAGUAAUAUGAAAUGGAUUUGUCAAGCCAAACUACAUGGAAAAUGCUUGAAUGUCUUGUCUUUUUUUUAGAAUUCUUCCUAACAAUCUAAAUUCUUCCUAACCAUUCAAAAUAUUCUGAUUGUCAAUCUUCUUUCUCAGAUGUCAUGAAUCACAAAUGAACACUAAACCUUUAACUUCAUAUUUUAAACAUUAACAUCGAAGUAAACACUUAAUCCGUGCAAAUAAAAUCUUGAUUCUCACCUUCACAGUGACUGUAUCCAUCUCCUUUGAAUUGCUCGCCAUCAACCAAGAGACAUUCACAAACUCUUCCUCGAAAUGUAUCUUAAGAAGCAAAUCAAUAUAUUCAAAUAAGCUCAUGGAGUAGAGAAUCCCUAUCAAAUCUGUUUCGAUUCAUACCCUGCAGGCUGUGAGAUUUGCUGCUUUUUCUUGCCAACAACCACCAUCAUUUUCCAAGCAUUCAUUCGUCUCCACAUCUGUGAAAAAAGUAACCGUCAUCACUGGUGUUUCAAAUAACAACUGGACAGUAAGUUGAAACACUACACUGGAUUUCUAAAAGCCUAGCUCUCGCCUAUGUUACUUAGUGUGAGAGUUGGAUAAGGCAUAUGUCUGACAUGGAUACGUGCAAGUUGUUCUUCAUUUUUCCUGUAUUCAGAGUGUUUUUGGAGGGUCACAUCCCCAUACUCGUAGAUGAAAACGUGUCAGACACGGGUUCUUAGAAAACUGGUACUUCAAGCAAAACUGAGACUCAGAGAAACUUAGCUCUAAACCACUUUAUCCAUACUGGAGAAAACUAUACGCCAUUACUACGAAAUUCUUAGAUAACCAGCAUUUUGAAAUUCAUUUUUAUUAUCAUACAUCUGCCUUGAGAACCAACCCAACCCAAAGCAUAUAUGUUCACUUGGACUCUGGGUGUGAGUUUCAAAUACAGGUAUGUGUUUGACACGGAUAUAUUCAAAUUUUUGUUCAUGUACCUAGAAGGAUCUUUGAAAAAUCAGAUCACCGUACACAUGUUCGGAUAUUGAGUCUAAAACUGGUACUUAAAGCAAAACCAAGAAUCUGAGAAACUUAGCUCUACUUUUGUAGACACCUCUAAGGCUACAUCCCUAUGAAAGGAGGGAAAUGAAGCUAAAUGAAUGGACCUAAUUUCAGAAAACAACUAGUAAGAUAAAAAGAGAGAAAGACAUCCGUCCAAACAACUUAAAGCAAAGCUGAAAACAAGUAAAUUAAUUCAUAAAUGAACGGAUAAAUAUAUAAAUAAUGAUAAUGAAAUCAAUGGAAACUGAUAAACCUAAAUUUAUUUAAAUGAAUUAGUUAAAAUAUAAUAACAUAAAUCCAAGUAGAUGGAAAAACCAAAUCUAUUAACCCUCAAAUCCCAAACUAUCAAAUAGAUUAUUGCCCCAUAAAUAAACCAAAUCCAACAAAUUGAACUUUAAACCUACUAUUUAAAUUCCCCAAUUUGGAAUUACUCAAAUUAGCUAAAACAACACAAAAAUUCCUCAUUGAUCAACCCUACAACAAACAAAUUAUAGCUCAAAUAAACAAAACCAUAGAUUAAUUUUUCUUAGAAGGCGAAAAUUUUGAAAAAAAGAAGAAGAAAAGUGUACCUCCACGAUCGACCAGAACAUAGGUAGGAAGAGAACCAGGCUUGGAUAUAACCGAAAUCCCAAAGUCAUCAAAACCUUUACAAGCUUUUCGGUUUUCUUCAGGGUAAACCACAACACCAGCCAUGCUUCCACCACAUUGAGGUAUCCCAAAGUUCCCAAUCGCACUAUCAUGGGUUGCUUUAAUCUUCUCCGGCGAUGUUACCGCCAAGCUCUUCUUUUCCACCACGAAUCUCGCGUAACAAUUGCGUAUCAAAGAUAAUAAAAUAAACACUUGAGGAAGAUGAUGAUGAUGGAAUGUUCGUAGCUCCAUAUCUUUACUUUUGGUUUUGGAUUUGGAUUGGAUCAGUUUUAAGGACGAUACUGAUGAAGAAGAUGAAGAUCGUGUAUGAAAAACAUGUAAAAUGAAAUGGUUUUUUUGAAAAAAAUAAAAACAGUGAAAAUCGCCAUUAAAUAAUUCUAUGAUUCUUUUAUUUGUUUUAAAUGAAUUUAGAACACAGUUAGUGAAAUUUUGACACGCUACUAAUAAAUAAUCUUAGUCAUUUAUAGAUUAAACAUUUUUCUUUUUUUUAAACAGUGCAAUGAGACCAAAUCCAGUCAUCUGAAGUAAACUUAAUGGGUUUAUGUUUUUCUUAGCCCCUAAAUUUUCACCUACCGUUUAAUUUAGUACAUGUUAAAAAAAAUCCAAUUUAGUCAUUUGUAUUAUACGUGACGGUCUUCUACAUAUACGAAGUCGUUUAAGUUUCGUUCCGGUGAAGAUUUCAAUAUGCUUAGCAUGUUCCAAAGUCCUUUGGCCCAUUCUAGCCAGUAUCGGCCCGUAUCAAUUGGUACAAAAUUUUGAUAUUUAAACUUAUCUUUUAAUUUUUUAUCUUAAACAUUUUAACUUUUUAUAACUACGUUUAAAAUUAAAAUAAACUGAAGCUAUUGAACCAAUUAAUAGAUUUAAAACUUAUUUUUACAUAUAGAUAGAUGUAAUUGAAAUAUAUCAAGAAAUUUUUCGAUGCAUUUAGCACAUAAAAUCCUCCAAAAAAUAAGGAAAACAGUUAAAUAAUAUAACAUGAAGGAUUCAACAAAAACAACCAACAAGGAACAUCACAUUAUUCUUGGAUAACGGCAAUAAUUGUAUCAUUACUGAUUAUCAUCAGUUCUUCAUGGCGCAUCUCUCUAUGCAGGUAUUGACGCAGCCGACAACUUCCUUUGAAGCUGACAAAAACAAAACAAAUCAUUAAGUUAAUAUACGUACUUACUUACCAUCAAAUAUUAAUAUAAAACGGAAAAAGAAAAAUUACCAGGCAUCCUCCCUUGGCUGCUUAGCAUUGAACAUGUCAUGGCAGCACACCCAACAGUGCAGAAUACGGAGCUGCUCGCGAGGUGGGUUUCCUCCAAUGUCUCCACCAGUGCUUCUGACGGCAGGCAGCGUUGAAUACAUUCCCCAAGGGAAGUUCCGUUGGCGACGCAAGUCGUUACGCAAAAAGUAUACCCAAGUCCAAUCGGGACAAGUGCUGUAACAGCUUGACGCGAGGGACUAACAAGGAUCAACAACAGCAAACAGAACAUCAACGCCAAUGAUUUCCCCCCCAUUAUGUAUAUAUUUGAUUUGAUUUGAUAAUGAUUUUUUUGCACUGCUUGAUAUCGGUGUUAUAUACACUUUGAUUGUCAUGCCAAACUACCAAACUGCCUAAUUAAGAUGCCAAACUAUAAUGCCAAAAUUUGAUUGAAUGCAAAAUUAAAAGAACAUUUCUAUAAGUAAUCAAAAUAAUUUGAAAUGAAUUUGUCAUGCCAAACUACAUGGAAAAUGUCUAAUGUCUUGUCCUUUUUUUAGAAUUCUUCCUAAUAAUCUAAAUUCUUCCUAACCAUCCCAAAUAUUCUGAUUGUCAAUGUUCUUUCUCAGAUGUCAUGAAUCACAAAUGAACACUAAACCUUUAACUUCAUAUUUUAAACAUUAACAUCGAAGUAAACACUUAAACCGUGCAAAUAAAAUCUUGAUUCUCACCUUCACAGUGACUGUAUCCAUCUCCUUUGAUUUGCUCGCUAUCAACCAAGAGACAUUCACAAACUCUUCCUCGAAAUGUAUCUUAAGAAGAAAAUCAAUAUAUUCAAAUAAGCUCAUGGAGUAGAGAAUCCCUAUCAAAUCUGUUUCGAUUCAUACCCUGCAGGCUGUGAGAUUUGCUGCUUUUUCUUGCCAACAACCACCAUCAUUUUCCAAGCAUUCAUUCGUCUCCACAUCUGUGAAAAAAGUAACCGCCAUCACUGGUGUUUCAAAUAACAACUGGACAGUAAGUUGAAACACUACACUGGAUUUCUAAAAGCCUAGCUCUCGCCUAUGUUACUUAGUGUGAGAGUUGGAUAAGACAUAUGUCUGACAUGGACAUGUGCAAGUUGUUCUUCAUUUUCCCUGUAUUCAGAGUGUUUUUGGAGGGUCACAUCCCCAUACUCGUCUAUGAAAACGUGUCAGACACGGGUUCUCAAGAGAGGUAAAGAGUCAGCACCCCUAAGUGGAACCAGACUAAAAUACUUCUCUUGCAAGAAAAAUAAAACAAGACAAACUCACCACCACUCGAACAAACAGCUGGUUCAGUAGUCUCCUCGAAGCCGGCACAUAUGGCCUUCAAAACAGCACCUUUGGCCAGCUUUCCUGCAUGCAGAUAUGUUAAACGCGGAAAGCACCCAAAAUUUUAUCUGGGAAAUACGGGUAUAAAUACGAACCUCGAUAUUGGCGAUUGUUGACAACAAGUCUAGGCAAUAUGGUAACAUCUCCUCUAGAUCCUUUCCCCGCCUAUGAAAAUGUUUCUAUUAAAUAGCCUCAAAAAGGUCAAAGAAGACAACGAAUUGGAAAAAGAGUAGUGAAACAUAAAAUAUCUUAGCCUGAGAGGACUACUUGAGCAUCUUGUUCUUCUUCCAGAACAGGAUUCUCCAUAUCAGCAUCUGGAUCUCCCAAACACUUUUCGAUCUUUUUAGCGUCAAGCCCUGAAUGGAUGACAAAGGAAUAUCAUCAAUUUAUUACUAGUUUCCAGCAAGAUUUUGAGUUUUCACUGUGCUAUUAAUACUAACAGAAAUUUGAAGAUAAACCGAGGAUCUUCCAAUUAACUGUUUACCAAGAGAUUUGAUAACACCGUCUGCACAUUCCUUAUUAUAUCUUUUCUACUUCAUUGGCCAUCUUAUUUCAAAAUCAGUCACAUAGUCCCACCACACCCAAGGCCUAUUGGUCUCAUUUGCCACUUUGAAAACGCAAAGCUGCCUUAAGGUCUCAAUAACUACAUCUUUCCCUUCAUAACCUGAGCUAAAACCUUGUUCAGGAUCCGGUGCACAGUAUCUUCCGCGGUUGAUGCAUUGAGAUAUGCACUGCCGGCUUAGGGUGAAAGCUUGAGGGCAGUACCAAGUUAUAUAAUGGGGUGUGAACUGCGUAUAGCCACCUUUUUCGAGAAUCUUAGCAGCACCCUUGAAAUCCUUCACAAAUGCCAUCAGCAUAUCGCAUUUAACUCCACAUUCAUCAUUGCUCUUGGUCCAUAACUCGUACUCGUCACGAUCAUCAGGGUUAGAGUUUCACCAGAAGUUUUCUCGAUAAGGGCAGAUGAACUGUCCUCUUCGCGAUUGUCCCUGGUUAUUAAUGCUUCUUCUAUGUCAUCCGCAACAAGCACUGCAGAAGCACUGCUUGCCAUACAUUCCAAAUCUUUAAAGCAAAGAAGCAAUCUGGAGAAAUAAUAAGAAAAAAGGCGCUAAAUGCAGUCUCCGCAAAUAUAUAUAUAUAUCAAAAACUAAAGAAAAAUUACAUCUAAGACCAUAACUCAAUCAAGGACAAUAAGCAAAUUUUACAACCUUGGCAGCAACUGGAGUCCGUAUAUAGGCAACACUUCAGAUUUUUCUCAUCUCUUUAACAGUGUAAUCACAUUAUAGUAAUGUAACUGAAUUAUCUAAUCCGGAAGUAACUAUAAGCCAUUACUACCUAAUGCUUAGAUCAACCAGCAUUCUGAACCUCAUUUUUAUCACCAUACAUCUGUUUGAGAACCAACCAAACUCAAAUCGUACACUCUAAAUCUAUGUUCACUCGGACUCGGGUAUGAGUUUCAAAUGUAGGCACAUGUUUGAGACGGAUAUGUUAGUUUUGGUUUUUCAUGUAUCUGGAGGAUCUUUGAAAAGUCAUGUGUCGCCCAUAUGCAUGUUCGGAUAUUGAGUCUAGAACGGGUACUUCAGACGGAUAUCCAGAGGAUCAUUAACAGCAUAAUCGCGUUGCAGUAAUGUAACUGAAUUAUCUAAUCCGGAGGUAACUAUAAGCCAUUACUACGAAAUGCUUAGAUCACCAUUAUUUUGAAACUCGUUUUUAUUAUCAUCCAUCUGUUUAAGAACCAACCAAACUCAAAUCAUACACUCUAAAUCUCUGUUUACUCCGACUUGGGUAUGAGUUUCAAAUAAAGGUAUGUGUUUGACACUGAUAUAUUCAAUUUUUCUUCAUGUACCUAGGGGAUCUUUGAGAAGACAUAUCACCGCACACAUGUUCAGAUAUUGAGUCCAAAACCGGUACUUCAAGCAAAACUGAGACUCAGAGAAACUUAGCUCUAAACCACUUUAUCCAUACUGGAGAAAACUAUACGCCAUUACUACGAAAUUCUUAGAUAACCAGCAUUUUGAAAUUCAUUUUUAUUAUCAUACAUCUGCCUUGAGAACCAACCCAACCCAAAGCAUAUAUGUUCACUUGGACUCUGGGUGUGAGUUUCAAAUACAGGUAUGUGUUUGACACGGAUAUAUUCAAAUUUUUGUUCAUGUACCUAGAAGGAUCUUUGAAAAAUCAGAUCACCGUACACAUGUUCGGAUAUUGAGUCUAAAACUGGUACUUAAAGCAAAACCAAGAAUCUGAGAAACUUAGCUCUACUUUUGUAGACACCUCUAAGGCUACAUCCCUAUGAAAGGAGGGAAAUGAAGCUAAAUGAAUGGACCUAAUUUCAGAAAACAACUAGUAAGAUAAAAAGAGAGAAAGACAUCCGUCCAAACAACUUAAAGCAAAGCUGAAAACAAGUAAAUUAAUUCAUAAAUGAACGGAUAAAUAUAUAAAUAAUGAUAAUGAAAUCAAUGGAAACUGAUAAACCUAAAUUUAUUUAAAUGAAUUAGUUAAAAUAUAAUAACAUAAAUCCAAGUAGAUGGAAAAACCAAAUCUAUUAACCCUCAAAUCCCAAACUAUCAAAUAGAUUAUUGCCCCAUAAAUAAACCAAAUCCAACAAAUUGAACUUUAAACCUACUAUUUAAAUUCCCCAAUUUGGAAUUACUCAAAUUAGCUAAAACAACACAAAAAUUCCUCAUUGAUCAACCCUACAACAAACAAAUUAUAGCUCAAAUAAACAAAACCAUAGAUUAAUUUUUCUUAGAAGGCGAAAAUUUUGAAAAAAAGAAGAAGAAAAGUGUACCUCCACGAUCGACCAGAACAUAGGUAGGAAGAGAACCAGGCUUGGAUAUAACCGAAAUCCCAAAGUCAUCAAAACCUUUACAAGCUUUUCGGUUUUCUUCAGGGUAAACCACAACACCAGCCAUGCUUCCACCACAUUGAGGUAUCCCAAAGUUCCCAAUCGCACUAUCAUGGGUUGCUUUAAUCUUCUCCGGCGAUGUUACCGCCAAGCUCUUCUUUUCCACCACGAAUCUCGCGUAACAAUUGCGUAUCAAAGAUAAUAAAAUAAACACUUGAGGAAGAUGAUGAUGAUGGAAUGUUCGUAGCUCCAUAUCUUUACUUUUGGUUUUGGAUUUGGAUUGGAUCAGUUUUAAGGACGAUACUGAUGAAGAAGAUGAAGAUCGUGUAUGAAAAACAUGUAAAAUGAAAUGGUUUUUUUGAAAAAAAUAAAAACAGUGAAAAUCGCCAUUAAAUAAUUCUAUGAUUCUUUUAUUUGUUUUAAAUGAAUUUAGAACACAGUUAGUGAAAUUUUGACACGCUACUAAUAAAUAAUCUUAGUCAUUUAUAGAUUAAACAUUUUUCUUUUUUUUAAACAGUGCAAUGAGACCAAAUCCAGUCAUCUGAAGUAAACUUAAUGGGUUUAUGUUUUUCUUAGCCCCUAAAUUUUCACCUACCGUUUAAUUUAGUACAUGUUAAAAAAAAUCCAAUUUAGUCAUUUGUAUUAUACGUGACGGUCUUCUACAUAUACGAAGUCGUUUAAGUUUCGUUCCGGUGAAGAUUUCAAUAUGCUUAGCAUGUUCCAAAGUCCUUUGGCCCAUUCUAGCCAGUAUCGGCCCGUAUCAAUUGGUACAAAAUUUUGAUAUUUAAACUUAUCUUUUAAUUUUUUAUCUUAAACAUUUUAACUUUUUAUAACUACGUUUAAAAUUAAAAUAAACUGAAGCUAUUGAACCAAUUAAUAGAUUUAAAACUUAUUUUUACAUAUAGAUAGAUGUAAUUGAAAUAUAUCAAGAAAUUUUUCGAUGCAUUUAGCACAUAAAAUCCUCCAAAAAAUAAGGAAAACAGUUAAAUAAUAUAACAUGAAGGAUUCAACAAAAACAACCAACAAGGAACAUCACAUUAUUCUUGGAUAACGGCAAUAAUUGUAUCAUUACUGAUUAUCAUCAGUUCUUCAUGGCGCAUCUCUCUAUGCAGGUAUUGACGCAGCCGACAACUUCCUUUGAAGCUGACAAAAACAAAACAAAUCAUUAAGUUAAUAUACGUACUUACUUACCAUCAAAUAUUAAUAUAAAACGGAAAAAGAAAAAUUACCAGGCAUCCUCCCUUGGCUGCUUAGCAUUGAACAUGUCAUGGCAGCACACCCAACAGUGCAGAAUACGGAGCUGCUCGCGAGGUGGGUUUCCUCCAAUGUCUCCACCAGUGCUUCUGACGGCAGGCAGCGUUGAAUACAUUCCCCAAGGGAAGUUCCGUUGGCGACGCAAGUCGUUACGCAAAAAGUAUACCCAAGUCCAAUCGGGACAAGUGCUGUAACAGCUUGACGCGAGGGACUAACAAGGAUCAACAACAGCAAACAGAACAUCAACGCCAAUGAUUUCCCCCCCAUUAUGUAUAUAUUUGAUUUGAUUUGAUAAUGAUUUUUUUGCACUGCUUGAUAUCGGUGUUAUAUACACUUUGAUUGUCAUGCCAAACUACCAAACUGCCUAAUUAAGAUGCCAAACUAUAAUGCCAAAAUUUGAUUGAAUGCAAAAUUAAAAGAACAUUUCUAUAAGUAAUCAAAAUAAUUUGAAAUGAAUUUGUCAUGCCAAACUACAUGGAAAAUGUCUAAUGUCUUGUCCUUUUUUUAGAAUUCUUCCUAAUAAUCUAAAUUCUUCCUAACCAUCCCAAAUAUUCUGAUUGUCAAUGUUCUUUCUCAGAUGUCAUGAAUCACAAAUGAACACUAAACCUUUAACUUCAUAUUUUAAACAUUAACAUCGAAGUAAACACUUAAACCGUGCAAAUAAAAUCUUGAUUCUCACCUUCACAGUGACUGUAUCCAUCUCCUUUGAUUUGCUCGCUAUCAACCAAGAGACAUUCACAAACUCUUCCUCGAAAUGUAUCUUAAGAAGAAAAUCAAUAUAUUCAAAUAAGCUCAUGGAGUAGAGAAUCCCUAUCAAAUCUGUUUCGAUUCAUACCCUGCAGGCUGUGAGAUUUGCUGCUUUUUCUUGCCAACAACCACCAUCAUUUUCCAAGCAUUCAUUCGUCUCCACAUCUGUGAAAAAAGUAACCGCCAUCACUGGUGUUUCAAAUAACAACUGGACAGUAAGUUGAAACACUACACUGGAUUUCUAAAAGCCUAGCUCUCGCCUAUGUUACUUAGUGUGAGAGUUGGAUAAGACAUAUGUCUGACAUGGACAUGUGCAAGUUGUUCUUCAUUUUCCCUGUAUUCAGAGUGUUUUUGGAGGGUCACAUCCCCAUACUCGUCUAUGAAAACGUGUCAGACACGGGUUCUCAAGAGAGGUAAAGAGUCAGCACCCCUAAGUGGAACCAGACUAAAAUACUUCUCUUGCAAGAAAAAUAAAACAAGACAAACUCACCACCACUCGAACAAACAGCUGGUUCAGUAGUCUCCUCGAAGCCGGCACAUAUGGCCUUCAAAACAGCACCUUUGGCCAGCUUUCCUGCAUGCAGAUAUGUUAAACGCGGAAAGCACCCAAAAUUUUAUCUGGGAAAUACGGGUAUAAAUACGAACCUCGAUAUUGGCGAUUGUUGACAACAAGUCUAGGCAAUAUGGUAACAUCUCCUCUAGAUCCUUUCCCCGCCUAUGAAAAUGUUUCUAUUAAAUAGCCUCAAAAAGGUCAAAGAAGACAACGAAUUGGAAAAAGAGUAGUGAAACAUAAAAUAUCUUAGCCUGAGAGGACUACUUGAGCAUCUUGUUCUUCUUCCAGAACAGGAUUCUCCAUAUCAGCAUCUGGAUCUCCCAAACACUUUUCGAUCUUUUUAGCGUCAAGCCCUGAAUGGAUGACAAAGGAAUAUCAUCAAUUUAUUACUAGUUUCCAGCAAGAUUUUGAGUUUUCACUGUGCUAUUAAUACUAACAGAAAUUUGAAGAUAAACCGAGGAUCUUCCAAUUAACUGUUUACCAAGAGAUUUGAUAACACCGUCUGCACAUUCCUUAUUAUAUCUUUUCUACUUCAUUGGCCAUCUUAUUUCAAAAUCAGUCACAUAGUCCCACCACACCCAAGGCCUAUUGGUCUCAUUUGCCACUUUGAAAACGCAAAGCUGCCUUAAGGUCUCAAUAACUACAUCUUUCCCUUCAUAACCUGAGCUAAAACCUUGUUCAGGAUCCGGUGCACAGUAUCUUCCGCGGUUGAUGCAUUGAGAUAUGCACUGCCGGCUUAGGGUGAAAGCUUGAGGGCAGUACCAAGUUAUAUAAUGGGGUGUGAACUGCGUAUAGCCACCUUUUUCGAGAAUCUUAGCAGCACCCUUGAAAUCCUUCACAAAUGCCAUCAGCAUAUCGCAUUUAACUCCACAUUCAUCAUUGCUCUUGGUCCAUAACUCGUACUCGUCACGAUCAUCAGGGUUAGAGUUUCACCAGAAGUUUUCUCGAUAAGGGCAGAUGAACUGUCCUCUUCGCGAUUGUCCCUGGUUAUUAAUGCUUCUUCUAUGUCAUCCGCAACAAGCACUGCAGAAGCACUGCUUGCCAUACAUUCCAAAUCUUUAAAGCAAAGAAGCAAUCUGGAGAAAUAAUAAGAAAAAAGGCGCUAAAUGCAGUCUCCGCAAAUAUAUAUAUAUAUCAAAAACUAAAGAAAAAUUACAUCUAAGACCAUAACUCAAUCAAGGACAAUAAGCAAAUUUUACAACCUUGGCAGCAACUGGAGUCCGUAUAUAGGCAACACUUCAGAUUUUUCUCAUCUCUUUAACAGUGUAAUCACAUUAUAGUAAUGUAACUGAAUUAUCUAAUCCGGAAGUAACUAUAAGCCAUUACUACCUAAUGCUUAGAUCAACCAGCAUUCUGAACCUCAUUUUUAUCACCAUACAUCUGUUUGAGAACCAACCAAACUCAAAUCGUACACUCUAAAUCUAUGUUCACUCGGACUCGGGUAUGAGUUUCAAAUGUAGGCACAUGUUUGAGACGGAUAUGUUAGUUUUGGUUUUUCAUGUAUCUGGAGGAUCUUUGAAAAGUCAUGUGUCGCCCAUAUGCAUGUUCGGAUAUUGAGUCUAGAACGGGUACUUCAGACGGAUAUCCAGAGGAUCAUUAACAGCAUAAUCGCGUUGCAGUAAUGUAACUGAAUUAUCUAAUCCGGAGGUAACUAUAAGCCAUUACUACGAAAUGCUUAGAUCACCAUUAUUUUGAAACUCGUUUUUAUUAUCAUCCAUCUGUUUAAGAACCAACCAAACUCAAAUCAUACACUCUAAAUCUCUGUUUACUCCGACUUGGGUAUGAGUUUCAAAUAAAGGUAUGUGUUUGACACUGAUAUAUUCAAUUUUUCUUCAUGUACCUAGGGGAUCUUUGAGAAGACAUAUCACCGCACACAUGUUCAGAUAUUGAGUCCAAAACCGGUACUUCAAGCAAAACUGAGACUCAGAGAAACUUAGCUCUAAACCACUUUAUCCAUACUGGAGAAAACUAUACGCCAUUACUACGAAAUUCUUAGAUAACCAGCAUUUUGAAAUUCAUUUUUAUUAUCAUACAUCUGCCUUGAGAACCAACCCAACCCAAAGCAUAUAUGUUCACUUGGACUCUGGGUGUGAGUUUCAAAUACAGGUAUGUGUUUGACACGGAUAUAUUCAAAUUUUUGUUCAUGUACCUAGAAGGAUCUUUGAAAAAUCAGAUCACCGUACACAUGUUCGGAUAUUGAGUCUAAAACUGGUACUUAAAGCAAAACCAAGAAUCUGAGAAACUUAGCUCUACUUUUGUAGACACCUCUAAGGCUACAUCCCUAUGAAAGGAGGGAAAUGAAGCUAAAUGAAUGGACCUAAUUUCAGAAAACAACUAGUAAGAUAAAAAGAGAGAAAGACAUCCGUCCAAACAACUUAAAGCAAAGCUGAAAACAAGUAAAUUAAUUCAUAAAUGAACGGAUAAAUAUAUAAAUAAUGAUAAUGAAAUCAAUGGAAACUGAUAAACCUAAAUUUAUUUAAAUGAAUUAGUUAAAAUAUAAUAACAUAAAUCCAAGUAGAUGGAAAAACCAAAUCUAUUAACCCUCAAAUCCCAAACUAUCAAAUAGAUUAUUGCCCCAUAAAUAAACCAAAUCCAACAAAUUGAACUUUAAACCUACUAUUUAAAUUCCCCAAUUUGGAAUUACUCAAAUUAGCUAAAACAACACAAAAAUUCCUCAUUGAUCAACCCUACAACAAACAAAUUAUAGCUCAAAUAAACAAAACCAUAGAUUAAUUUUUCUUAGAAGGCGAAAAUUUUGAAAAAAAGAAGAAGAAAAGUGUACCUCCACGAUCGACCAGAACAUAGGUAGGAAGAGAACCAGGCUUGGAUAUAACCGAAAUCCCAAAGUCAUCAAAACCUUUACAAGCUUUUCGGUUUUCUUCAGGGUAAACCACAACACCAGCCAUGCUUCCACCACAUUGAGGUAUCCCAAAGUUCCCAAUCGCACUAUCAUGGGUUGCUUUAAUCUUCUCCGGCGAUGUUACCGCCAAGCUCUUCUUUUCCACCACGAAUCUCGCGUAACAAUUGCGUAUCAAAGAUAAUAAAAUAAACACUUGAGGAAGAUGAUGAUGAUGGAAUGUUCGUAGCUCCAUAUCUUUACUUUUGGUUUUGGAUUUGGAUUGGAUCAGUUUUAAGGACGAUACUGAUGAAGAAGAUGAAGAUCGUGUAUGAAAAACAUGUAAAAUGAAAUGGUUUUUUUGAAAAAAAUAAAAACAGUGAAAAUCGCCAUUAAAUAAUUCUAUGAUUCUUUUAUUUGUUUUAAAUGAAUUUAGAACACAGUUAGUGAAAUUUUGACACGCUACUAAUAAAUAAUCUUAGUCAUUUAUAGAUUAAACAUUUUUCUUUUUUUUAAACAGUGCAAUGAGACCAAAUCCAGUCAUCUGAAGUAAACUUAAUGGGUUUAUGUUUUUCUUAGCCCCCAAAUUUUCACCUACCGUGUAAUUUAGUACAUGUUAAAAAAAUCCAAUUUAGUCAUUUGUAUUAUACGUGACGGUCUUCUACAUAUACGAAGUCGUUUAAGUUUCGUUCCGGUGAAGAUUUCAAUAUGCUUCGCAUGUUCCAAAGUCCUUUGGCCCAUUCUAGCCAGUAUCGGCCCGUAUCAAUUGGUACAAAAUUUUGAUAUUUAAACUUAUCUUUUAAUUUUUUAUCUUAAACAUUUUAACUUUUUAUAACUACGUUUAAAAUUAAAAUAAACUGAAGCUAUUGAACCAAUUAAUAGAUUUAAAACUUAUUUUUACAUAUAGAUAGAUGUCAUUGAAAUAUAUCAAGAAAAUUUUCGGUGCAUUUAGCACAUAAAAUCCUCCAAAAAUAAGGAAAACAGUUAAAUAAUAUAACAUGAAGGAUUCAACAAAAACAACAAAGGAACAUCACAUUAUUCUUGGAUAACGGCAAUAAUUGUAUCAUUACUGAUUAUCAUCAGUUCUUCAUGGCGCAUCUCUCUAUGCAGGUAUUGACGCAGCCGACAACUUCCUUUGAAGCUGACAAAAACAAAACAAAUCAUUAAGUUAAUAUACGUACUUACUUACCAUCAAAUAUUAAUAUAAAACGGAAAAAGAAAAAUUACCAGGCAUCCUCCCUUGGCUGCUUAGCAUUGAACAUGUCAUGGCAGCACACCCAACAGUGCAGAAUACGGAGCUGCUCGCGAGGUGGGUUUCCUCCAAUGUCUCCACCAGUGCUUCUGACGGCAGGCAGCGUUGAAUACAUUCCCCAAGGGAAGUUCCGUUGGCGACGCAAGUCGUUACGCAAAAAGUAUACCCAAGUCCAAUCGGGACAAGUGCUGUAACAGCUUGACGCGAGGGACUAACAAGGAUCAACAACAGCAAACAGAACAUCAACGCCAAUGAUUUCCCCCCCAUUAUGUAUAUAUUUGAUUUGAUUUGAUAAUGAUUUUUUUGCACUGCUUGAUAUCGGUGUUAUAUACACUUUGAUUGUCAUGCCAAACUACCAAACUGCCUAAUUAAGAUGCCAAACUAUAAUGCCAAAAUUUGAUUGAAUGCAAAAUUAAAAGAACAUUUCUAUAAGUAAUCAAAAUAAUUUGAAAUGAAUUUGUCAUGCCAAACUACAUGGAAAAUGUCUAAUGUCUUGUCCUUUUUUUAGAAUUCUUCCUAAUAAUCUAAAUUCUUCCUAACCAUCCCAAAUAUUCUGAUUGUCAAUGUUCUUUCUCAGAUGUCAUGAAUCACAAAUGAACACUAAACCUUUAACUUCAUAUUUUAAACAUUAACAUCGAAGUAAACACUUAAACCGUGCAAAUAAAAUCUUGAUUCUCAC
rnacentral:lncRNA from 1 species